rnacentral:misc_RNA from 1 species
UCAAGAUGGCUGCUUGACUGAAGAUGCAUGAGGAAGCGAAUUUUCUAACUUUUCUGAUUAGAGUUUUUCUACUGAUUUUUAACAAUGCCUUUGAUAAAACUUAAACACAUUUNUUCAUUUAGCAGUGAGGAUACGGCUCAGCCGAGCUCGAACUUACUCAAACCAGAGACUUAUAGAAAAUGGAGGUGUGCAGAACCUGGAGAAAAACAAGCUGUAGUUGUCAUAGAGUUAGAGAAGGCAACAAAGAUACAUUCUAUCGACGUAGGAAACAAUGGCUCAGCUCUGAUUGAAGUGUUAGUAGGAAGAUCUUCAGAUGCAAGUGAUGCAUUCAAGGUUCUCCUCGUAACCUCAUCAUUUAUGAGUCCUGCUGACAGCAAGUCAUUCACAAACACCAACAGGGUCAGAAUGUUUGGUCCUGAGAAGUUGUCCAAACCAGUUGCAAAUGAGAAGUGGGAUAAAGUGAAAAUAGUCUGUACUCAGCCCUUUAACAAAAAUGAAAAGUAUGGCCUGUCAUUUAUUUCUCUUCAUUCUCCGCCAGAAGAUUCGCCAGGAAGGGGAUCUGAUAAACAAACACCAAAGAGGCUUGGAAGUUUUACUUUACGUGAUGAAGAGGAAGAUGACAUUAAGCCAGGAAGUUUAUUCUUUCANAAGAAAAAGAACAGCCCUCCAAUUUCAUCAACUGCAGCCCAAGUCAGAGAUGCUAAUGUAUCAUCAUCUAGCAUUUCCUCCUCUUCUAAAACAUCAGAAGUUGGUGGAAUGUUCAANAGCCGNCAACCUGUGGCCAGUAAACCUAGAGAUGAAAGAGAAAGAAAACCUCAAUCAAAACCUGUUAAACAGGAAUUGAAAACUGUCAAACAGGAUAAANCUGUGUCAUCUANAACUCAGUCUCUUGGUGUUGACGAAUCAAGUAAGAGAAAACAUGCUGAUGGCAAGGAAAAACCUACUAAGGUGUCUCCACCUUCCAAGAAAGCAAAAAAGAGCAACCAUUCUACAGAGGAUGUCCCAUUUCAUCAUAUAAUGAAGAAUGUGGUGUUUGUGCUAAGUGGGUUUAAGAACCCUGAACGUGGUGAAAUUAGAGACAAAGCCCUUGAAAUGGGAGCCCAAUAUAAACCUGAUUGGAUGGCNGGAUGCACACAUCUAAUCUGUGCAUUUUCCAACACUCCCAAGUACUAUCAAGUCAAAGGAAAAGGAAAGAUUGUGACCAAAAAAUGGAUAUNAGACAGCCACAGGAAAAAGAGAAAACUGCCAACUAGAAAUUAUCAUCUUCCUGGUGAUACAAGCUCAUCAGAGGAAGGCAGCAGCGAUGAUGAACCACCAAGCANACGACCAUUGGCUAGUAGACAUUCUACUGACACCUNUGAAGAUAUUAAGAAAAAGNAUUCAGAAGAUAAGGAAGAAAGACCUGUAGAUGUAAAUACUGGUGUCAAAAAUAGUUCAGAAACAUCAAAAGUANAGAACGAUGANGACAGUGAUGACACUGUUGAUGAAAUUCCACAAGAAAAAGAAAAAGUUGAAAAGGAGCCAGAAAGUGAUCAGGACACAGAAGAUGAGCUUGAANGGAUGCAAGAGGAGAAAGAUGAUGAUGAUGAUGAUGAUAUUUAUAAUCUUUCUACUGAAGAUGAAGAAAAUGAAGAAGAUGACAAAAAAGAUGAAGAACAAGAUGACAGCUCUGGUCCUGAUGAGUUUCCUGAGCUCCCUGAUUUCUUCUCAAAGAAACAUUUCCUAUUGUAUGGAGAAAUGGACCAAUCCACACGUAGAACACUCAUUCGCUACAUUACAGCCUAUGAUGGGUAGGUACCAUACCUAUUGUAUGGAGAAAUGGACCAAUCCACACGUAGAACACUCAUUCGCUACAUUACAGCCUAUGAUGGUACUUUGGAAGACUACAUNACAGAGUCUGUAGACUUUGUGAUUACAAAUGAAACUUGGGAUCAAAACUUUGAAGAUGCUCUGAGUGAAAAUGCUUCACUGGCUUUUAUCAAGCCCACGUGGAU